rnacentral:rRNA from 1 species
GUGUCAGCAGCCGCGGUAAUACGGAGGGAGCGAGCGUUGUUCGGAUUUAUUGGGCGUAAAGGGCACGUAGGCGGCUUCGAAAGUCGGAUGUGAAAGCCCGCCGCUUAACGGCGGAACUGCAUUCGAAACUUCGAGGCUUGAGUUCAGAGGAAGAGAGCGGAAUUCUCGGUGUAGCGGUGAAAUGCGUAGAUAUCGAGAAGAACACCAGCGGCGAAGGCGGCUCUCUAUUCUGAAACUGACGCUGAGGUGCGAAAGCCAGGGGAGCGAACGGGAUUAGAAACCCCCGUAGUCC